GACGAACGCUGGCGGCGUGCCUAAUACAUGCAAGUAGGACGAGUUGCGAACGGGUGAGUCACGCGUGGUAACCUACCUAUUAGAGGGGGAUAACUACUGGAAACGGUAGCUAAUACCGCAUACCAUCGGAUGUGCCCAGAUGGGAUUAGCUAGUAGGUGGGGUAACGGCUCACCUGGGCGACGAUCCCUAGCUGGUCUGUUAGGAUGACCAGCCACACUGGAACGGAGACACGGUCCAGACUCCUACGGGAGGCAGCAGUGGGGAAGAUUGCGCAAUGGGGGCAAGCCUGAUGCAGCCAUGCCGCGUGUAUGAAGAAGGCCUUCGGGGUGUAAAGAACUUUCAGCGAGGAGGCGUUACUCGCAGAAGAAGCACCGGCUAACUCCGUGCCAGCCGCCGCGGUAAUUC
rnacentral:rRNA from 1 species